rnacentral:lncRNA from 1 species
CAGAACUUAAAGUAAAUUUUAAAAAAUAAAAAUAAAAAAUAAAUAUAAAUAUGUAAACAAUAUGGUUCUGGGACACAGUAUAGUAACAGGAACUUUAUGUUGGCAUAAUAAUCCUCAUUCAAUAAGCCUUUUUAGGAGAGUGUAACUGGCCACCAAUUUGAAGGAUUGCUUCUUCAUCCAAGAAAAGAAAUGAGGACAUGUUGUUCUCAUAAAAUGAUGGCUCCAAAUUAUUGUAUCAAGGGGUAGACUGCGUCAGCCUGAAUUUAUACCCCUAUUCUGUUUACACAAGAGGAGUCCUUGGCCUGCCAGACCCUUGGCUGCUUGCUCAAAAGAGAUGUCUGGCUGUCACCACUAUCACUUUGUCUCCAAAUAUCAACAACGCUCAUGGCCUCUCCUGGGCUGAGAUCCAAACUCCCUCCAGCAGAUCCUUCUUUAUGCAGCUUCAGCACAAGGUCUGGCUUUUCCACUUCUUCCAGCCUCAAAUGAAGUGCCAUUCCAUACACUGCAGGAUGUGACUUUCCGUGGAUUACUGGAAAUGGUGAGGUGAAACAAUCUGGAAGUUCAAGAGAGUUAAUCAGCUGAACCAAGGAAAGAGGAAAUUAUGGUUGGGAUGGAUGAAAAAGGUCCACAUACUGGUCCAGGAGGUAAAGUAUCUUAUUUUGCCAACUGUUUGGGCAUCUGUGUGCCCAUUUUUUAUUUGGAAGAUCUAAAUUAAUUUUGUUGCUCAAAAAUCAACCUUUACAAUCUUACACAUUUACCUCUUCCAAGAUAGUGCCUGAGCCUAGAGGGAAGAUGCUUAUAUAGUUUUAGCAGUGGAGCAUUAGCAUUGAAAAUAGAUCGGGCCCAGUGGGAUUCUGAAUAGUUUUAAAUUUCAGAGAUAUUAAGCAGAGAGAGAGUGAAAAAGUAACCUUUGUUGUUUUAUCCAAUUUUGCAAGCUAUGUAUAGAGUUAGUAAUGUUUAAACGAAAGGGACUUAAGCCCUGCCUAGCUCUGACAAUGGCAGGAAAAGAAAACUCACAGGUAACUAAACAUUUAUCUAGUAAGGCAUAGAACAAAUUAUAUUAAGAUAGAUAGAUGAAACAUUAUUCAAUGAUUACUUAUGCCUUUGUAUAUAGGCCUGGUCCAGUGUCACAUGAAAGCAGUUCAUUUUGACUGUCAUCUUCUCCCAGGUCUGAAGAUGGAACUUUGGUCAACUUGAAUUUGAUGCCAGAUAUCAAUAUUGACUAUUAAGAUUCAGUAGGCGUCAGGAUUCCCUUUCAGAUGAGAUACAUGUACCCAGGAGUCAAAGCCCUGCAACUUAACAGCACAAGGGGAGGAACCAAACUGUAGUCUGCGUUUCAAUGGAGUGGAGCUGAGAAGUUCAGUCUCUCGUUGAUUCACACAAGGGACAGUUCAGUUUCUCAAGCAAAUGCACAAACAAGCCAAGUGAGAUUAAUUUGGGGAGAAAGAGGCAAUGGAAAAGAUCCUUCAGAAUGCUUUCUGAAUCAAAAUUAGGAUCCUGAACAACAACUUCCUAGGAAAAGAACCAGCUCAGAAUAAAGCAGAAGACUGUCAACUGAGCAGGAGGUUCAGGGCUGAGGAGGACUUACCAGUUUCACUCAAGAAGAAGCUUGGAGUUGGGGGGCUUUCAAUGGGCCCCUGCUGGUACCUUAGCUCUGGGUUUGGGUGACUCUUUCAGGGUUCUGAGUCUUCUCUGAGGCCCCAUAUGUAGGGUGCCAAUUAAUAUUGACUAAAAAAGCCAAACUGUAACAUAUGUGAAGAGGUUUAUUCUAAGCCAAAUAUGAGUAGCCAUGGCCCAAGGCAUGGUCUCAAGAGGUCCUGAGAACAUGUGCUCAAGGUGGUUGGGCUACAGCUUUCUUUUCUAUGUUUUAGAGAGACAUAAGACAUCAAUCAAUACAUGUGAGGUAUCCAUUGGUUUGGUCUAGAAGGGCAGGACGACUUAAAGCAGGGGAAAGUGGGUGCUUACAGGUCAUAGGAGGAUUCCAAGAUUUUCUGAUUGGCAAUUGCUUGAAAGAGUUAAGUUAUUUUCUAAAGACCUGGAAUCAAUAGAAAAGAAUGACUGGGUUAACAUAAGGGGUUGUGGAGACCAAGGUUUUUAUUACAUAGAUGAAGUCUCAUAAGUGGCUGCCCUUAGAGAUAAUAGAUAGCAAAUGUUUUCUAUUUAGACUUUUAAAAGGUGCUAGAUUCUCAGUUAAUCUCUUCAGGUUUCGGAAGGCCUGGAAGAGGAAAGAUCUAGUUAUGUUAAUGAGAUGCUUUACAGAUGCAAAUGUUUCUCAAUGGCUCUGCAGGUCCAUUUCAAAAUAGGGCCAAAAAACAUACUUUGGGGUAAAAUAUUUUUAUUUCCAUUUUUAUCAUGUGAAGUUAUACUAGAGUCAGGUUGGACUUUGGUAUCUUAUUGCUACAAAGAAUCUGUUUUGUCAGUGUUAAGAUCUGUUUUUUUUCUUUGUUUUUGUUUGUUUGUUUUGAGAAGUGGUCUCACUUUGUCACCCAGGCUGAAAUGCAGUGGCACAAUCUCAGCUCACUGCAACCUCUGCCUCCCAGGCUCAAGCGAUUCUCCUGCCUCAGCCUCCCAAGUUGCUAGGACUAAGGUGUAUGUCACCAUGCCUAGCUAAUUUUUGUAUUUUUGCAGAGACAGGAUUUCACCAUGUUGCCCAGGCUAUUCUUGAACUCCUGACUUCAAGGGAUACGCCCACCUCAGCCUCCCAAAGUGUUGACAUUAUAGGCAUGAGCCACCUCACCAGGCCAAGAUCUGUUUUAAUGUUCAUGCUGGUCAGUUAUGCCUGAAAUCCAAAUGGGAGAGGGUAUAAUGAGGCAUGUCUGACCACCUACUUCCUUCCCUUUAUGGCCUUAACUAGUUUUUCAGGUUUCUUUGGAAUCUCUUUGGCAGAAGUGUGGGAUCCAUUCAGUCAAUUGGGGGGUUAGAAUUGCAUUUUUGGUCAUGAAACUUGACCUUGAAAGUUAUUUUAUGAAUAUGAACCAUUUUCUUUUUUUUAUUAUUAUACUUUAAGUUUUGGGAUACAUGUGCAGAAUAUGCAGGUUUGUUACAUAGGUAUACACAUGCCAUGGUGGUUUGUGGCACUCAUCAACCUGCCGUCUACAUUAGGUAUUUCUUCUAAUGCUAUCCCUCCCCUAGUCCCCCACCACUGACAGGCCCCAAUGUGUGAUGUUCCCCUCCCUGUGUCCACGUGUUCUCAUUGAUCAACUCCCACUUAUGAGUGAUAACAUUCAGUGUUUGGUUUUCUGUUCCUGUGUUAGUUUGCUGAGAAUGAUGGUUUCCAGCUUCAUUCAUGUCCCUGCAAAAGACAUGAACUCAUCCUUUUUUGUGGCUGCAUAGUAUUCCAUGGUGUAUAUGUGCCACAUUUUCUGUAUCCAGUCUAUCAUCAAUGGGCAUUUAGGUUGGUUCCAAGUCUUUGCUAUUGUGAACAUUGCCGCAAUAAACAUAUGUAUACGUGUGCAUGUGUCUUUGUAGUAGAAUGAUUGAUCAUCCUUUGGGUAUAUACCCAGUAAUGGGAUUACUGGGUCAAAUGGAAUUUCUGAUUCUAGAUCCUUAAGGAAUCGACACACUCUUCCACAAUGGUUGAACUAACUUACACUCCCACCAACAAUGUAAAAGCUUUCCUAUUUCUCCACAUUAUCUCCAGCAUCUGUUGUUUCCUGACUUUUUAAUGAUUGCCAAAUACCUAAUGACUUUUUAAUGAUGGCCCCAAAUACCUAAUCCUGAUGGUAAUGGUAUUAAGAGGUAAGGCCUAUGGGAGGUGAUUUGGUCAUGAGGCUCUACCCCCAUGAAUGGGAUUAGUAUCCUUAAAAAUGUGGCCUGAGGGAGCUCUUUUACUUCUACUACCAUAUGAGGACAUAGCUAGAAGGUGCCAUCUUUGAAGCAGAGAUUGAGCCCUCAUUGUUCACCACAUUUUCUGGCACCUUAAUGUUCGAAAUCCCUGACUCCAGGACUCUCAGUAAAUUACGUUUUUAAAAACUACCCAGUCCAAGUUACAUUGUUAUAGCACCCUGAAAGAAUCAAGGUAUAAAUUGAUAGCAAGAAGUGGUGUGCUGCUCUAACAAAUACCUACAAAUGCGGAUGCAGCUUGGGAACUAGGUAAUGGGUAGAGGCCGUAAGAAUGCAAAGGAUCAGGCUAGAAAAAGCCUACAUUUCUGUGAGCAGAGUGUUAAGAGUGAUCUGGUUAUGGCUCAGAAGAGGAGAGCUGUAAACAAUGCCUAAUCUUCUUAGAGAUUUCCUAAGAGGUCAUGAACAGAAUUUUGGUAUAAAUCUGGAUGGUAAAGGCCAUUCUGAUGAAGUCUCAGGUGAAAAUGAGAAAUGUUAUCAGAAACUGGAGGAAAAGCCAUCCCUCUUAUAAAGUGGCAAAUAACCUGGCUGAACUGUGUAUGUAUCCUAGGGCUUUGCAGAAGGUAGAACUUCUGAGCAAUGAUAGUAUAGUUAGUGAAAUAAAUAUCUAAGCAAAGUGUUGAGGGUGUGUUAUGGCCUCUCUUGAAUGCUUGUAGUAAAAUACAAGAAGAUAGAAACAAAUUAAAAAGAAUUUAUAAUCAAAAGGGAAGCAGAAUGUAAAGAUCUGAAAAAUUUUCAGUGUGGCUAUGUUGUGAAGAGUUAAUGAAAAAGCAUAUUCAGAAGAGAAUACUAAAGGUAUGACCAAGCCACCAUUUGAUAAGAAGAUUAGUAGGGAUAGAAGGAAGGCAGAUGCUAUUCUGCAUGACAAUAAGAGAAUGACCCUAAAGGCAUUUCAGAGACCAUCCAGCCUGCCACUCACAUCACAGGCUCAGAAUACCAAACCUGGGGCGUAAAAUGAGGUCAAAAGAGGGACCUUGGGCAUCCAAGGAACCUCAGUGCUUGCUGCCCUGAACUACCUCAAGUCUCUGCUCCCUACAUUCUGGCACAGCAUUUUUCAGCUCCCUCUCUCAUCAGAUGUGUCUCAAAUGGGCCCAGAUGUGGUUCAGGCCACCACUCUAAAGUGCACAGGCAGUAAAAAUCUUGGCAGCAUCAACACAGUGCCAUCUCCACAGGAGCACAGAGCAAAAUGAGCUGUAGAGACAUGGCUACCUCCACCUAUAUUACUAAGGGUACUCCCAGAGAGCUGCAGGGCAUGGACAAAGAUGUCCCACAGGAAUAGGACUACAAUAAAGAGUCACCAUUGGGGCAAUGUCUAUUAAAGCCAUGGAGGGACCACCAUAAAGGCAAAGUCUGGUAAAACCAUGAGGGCAGGGCCAUCCCAGAGACCUCAGAUUGGUAAAGCCACCAGUGUGCAACUCCAGCCUAGGACAACCACAAACACAAGACUCCAACACAUGAGCACUGUGGCACGGGCUAUGCACAGAAAAGUCAUUGGGAAUGGGACCAGUUAAAGCCUUGGGGGCCCAAUCCUCAUCCAAGUGUGUGUGAAAGGCACAACACUGAGUCAAAGAAGAUUAUUCUCCAGCCUUAAGUUUUAAUAUUGUUUGUGCUCUUGGGUUUUAGACUUCCUUGAAACAUAUUACCCCUUUUCCUUUCUUCUCUCUCCCUUAUGGAAUGGGAAUUUCUAACUUAUGCCUGUCCCACCACUGUAUUUUGGAAACAUAAAACUUGUUUAACUUCAAAAGCUCAGAGUAGAAGGGGAAUUUGGCUCAGAAUGAAUGAUACCUUGAGUCUCACCCAAAUCUAACGUAGAUGAUAUUUAGAUGAGACUUUGAACUUUAAACUUUUGAGUUGAUGCAAAAACAGGUUAAGAAUUUGGGGGCUAUUGACGGGCACGGUGGCUCACGCCUGUAAUCCCAACACUUUGGGAAGCCAAGGUGGGUGGAUCACGAGGUCAGGAGUUCAAGACCAGCCUGGCCAACAUAUUGAAACCCCGUCUAUACUAAAAAUACAAAAAUUACCCAGGCAUAGUGGCACACGCCUGUAGUCCCAGCUACUCAGGAGGCUGAGGCACGAGAAUCACUUGAGCCUGGGAGGUGGAGGUUGCAGCGAGCCAAGAUUGCACCACUGCACUCCAGCCUGGGUAACAGAGUGAGACUCCGUCUCAGGAAAAAAAAAAAAAAAAAAAAAAAGAAUUUGGGGGCUAUUAGGAUAGGAUGAAUAUAUUUUGCAUGUGGGAAAGACACAAAUUUGGGGGGCCCAAGGGUGGGAAGGUAUGUUCUAAAAGUCUGUAUCCCCCAAAAUUUAUAUGUUGAAACCUAACCCCCAAGGUGAUAUUAUUAAGAGAUGUAGCCUUUGGAAGCUGAUUAGAUAAUGGAGGGUCAGUCAUACUGAAUGGGAUUAGUUCCCUAAUAAAACAGACGUGAGAGAGCUUGUCACCUCUUCUGCCAUGUGAGCAUAUAGAUAGAAGGUGCCAUCUUUGAAGCAGAGAGUGAGCCUUCAACAGAUAAUGAAUGUGCUGGGGCCUUGAUCUUGGACUUCCCAGACACCACAACUGUGAGCAGUAAGUUUUAUUAUUUAUAAAAGAUUAUAAAUCACCUAGCUAUGGUAUUUUGCUACAGCAGCCUGAAUGGACUAAAAUAAGGCUGAUAUAUUUUACUGAUAAUUUCAAAGAAUCUGUUUAAAAUUCAUUGAUUAUUAAUUUUUGGCUUUCUAUUCCUGUGAUUUCACUUUCAAAAUGAUUGAAUCAAUUCUUCUCAUUUGCUUGGAUUAAUUAUUUGUUUAUUAACAUUUGGUAAGAUUAGUUCAUUCUUUUCGGUCUUAUUACCUUAAUUUUCAAAACUGUUUUAUAUAACACUUGGUUGAGCUUAUGAUAAUAAAUAAAUAAAUAAACAUUUUAAUAAAGUCAUUAAUGGAUAAAGGCUUUCCUCUGAGAAAAGCAUCUGCAGGCAUAAUAGGAUUUGACUUGAUGUAUUUUGCCUUUAAUUAUUCUCUGGAUAUUAUGUAAGUUCCCUUUUUAUUUCCUAUUUGAGUAAAAGAGAAUCUUAAACGUGUUUAUUAAUUUCAGAUUGGAUAAGAUUUUGGUAAUGUUUCUUUACUUCCAAAUUUAUUGAAUAGACAAAUGAUAUGGAUGGAUAAAUGCUUACUAUUUUAAUACAUUAAAUGAUUUUAAGCCAAAAGACUGAUAAACCUAUUAAAAAUUCUCAUUCUUGCCGGGCACAGUGGCUCACACCUGUAAUCCCAGCACUUUAGGAGGCCAAGGUGGGCGGAUCACUUGAGGUCAGGAGUUUGAGACUAGCCUGGCCAACAUGGGGAAACCCCGUCUCUACUAAAAAAUACAAAAAUAGGCCGGCGUGGUGGCAGGCACCUGUAAUCUCACCUACUCAGGGGGCUGAGGCAGGAGAAUCACUUGAACCUGGGAGGUUGGAGGUUGCGGUGAGCCAAGAUCAGGCCACUAUACUCCAGCCUGGGCGACAGAGCCAGAAGUCCAUCUCAAAAAAAAAAAAAAAAAAACAAAACUCAUUCUCUAAUUGUGAGAUGUAAAGUGUUAUAUUUAAUACGUAAAUUGUGUUUAUUGAUUGAAUAAUUCAGUUCUUUAUGUCUUUUACAGGAAUUUAAAGACUGAUUUAUGCAUAAAACAAGAGAAUCAGAAGUAUUAAAUUUAAUCAGUGCUUAUUAUGGCAUGGUCCAUUUAUAUCAGUGUUUUUCUUUUUGAGAGUAUUUCCUUAUUUUCUGAAUCCAUGUAUAAAUAAAAGCUAUUUUCUACUAAAAAAAAACCAUGGUAACAUGGAUCAAUAAAUAAUACAGAUCAAAGCAGAACUAAACAAAAUAGAGAUGAAAAACCAACACAAAGGAUCAACAAAAUGAAAAAUUGGUUCUUUGAAAAUAUAAACAAAACUGCUGGGCGCGAUGGCUCACUCCUGUAAUCCCAGCACUUCGGGAGGCCAAGACGGGUGAAUCACUUGAGGUCAGGAGUUCGAGAUCAGCGUGGCCAAAAUGGUGAAAUCUCAUCUCUACUAGAAAUAAAAAAAGUAGCCAGGCAUGGUGGCGCACGCCUGUAAACUCAGCUACUAGGGAGGCUGAGGCACAAGAAUCGCUUGAACCCAGGAGAUGGAGGUUGCAGUGAGCCAAGAUCACACCACUGCACUCCAGCCUGGGUGACAGUUUUAUAUUUAUAUAUAUAUAUACACACACACACACACAUAUGAACCUGAUAAACCACUAGCUAGACUAACCAAGAAAAGAACAG